AUACAUCAUGUACCCGAAAGGUUGUUUGAUGUCAUCAAAGGGAGGAUGUUUUAACUAAGGGGGCGGUAUGGGGACAAAUACGAAAAUAUAGUAAGUAUGUUAAUUAAGGAAGGAGGGAUUAAAAGUAUACAUACAUUGAGUAUAAUGUGGAAAUUUCUAGAAAUAUUUAAAUUUGGAAGAGGAGGCGACUUGGUGCGUCUGAGGUAUAAGAAGAAGGGAAUUUUGGGGUUUUUUUUUUAGACCAGCUGCUCUCUUCAGAAAUGCAUGUGAUUGACUGCAUCUCUGAAUAAAGAAACCUGCUUCUUCUCAUCUGCUGACUGAGAUCUCCUUCAUUCCGGCUAAGUAUUUUAUAGUUUAUUGACUUUAUUUGGUUAUAAGAUUAUUGAAAUAAUAGAAAUUGGUACAAUUAAAGAUUCCACCCUGUGAUAUGUCCACUCGGAGGGGACUCUGAGUUCCAACAAAAUAGAUGGGCCAUACCAAAUUUUAGCUUGAAUAAACUUACAUCUUGAAUGGACUGACAUCACCUGAGUAACAAUUAUUUGUUACCUUAGCCCUUGUGCAAACACUCAUGAGUUACAACUGUUUGAAUCACAAACAGUAUCAGUUGACAAGUGGCUGCCAUAUUAUUUACAGAUGUCAGCAUGCAAAAUAAGUUUUGCAUAUUAUGCAAGUUAGCAAAAAAAUCAGUGGCAGAGGUAAAUGUGUCUUGAGGCUGAUUCGUUUCAGUGAACCCAAGGAAACAGUGAAAAAGGGAUUUGUUUGUAAGAUUCAUGAUUCAUGAAAUACUGACUAAAAUGCAACCCCUUUUUAAAAAGUCUGGGCUGUAUCACUUGCCUUAGUAGCAGGAGGGAGGGUAACAGCCACCAGGGACAAUUCCGUUCGAAACCAGCAGAGGUAACUCACUCAUUUUUUACUCUCUACUUUUGUUCCUUCUUGAUUUCUUUCUUGAUUUUGCACACCUGUUUAGUAUUUCCCUAUAAGUCACCCUAUUUAAAUUCCAUGUUUUCCCUCGCUGUUGGUUGGAGUGUUAUUCUUAUGUCUAUGUUUGUGUGUACAGAUAGACUAUGGUUGCUGUUUCCACUGUGUAUAGACUUUAUUUUCAUAUAUGAGUUUACAUUGUCUAGCCCUUUUAUUGUUUUAGUAUUUUGGUUUCUACAAAGCCCUUGUUUUUAUGUUCUCCAUUAAGAUUUGUGCACAUGCCUCCACCUUCACCCCCAUUCCAUGACAGAUUGCUACAACUAGUUAUGGAUGCAGCAGAACAGGCAGUUCUAGAGCAGGAGCUGGCAGAGCAUAGGCCUUUCCCUUCAAGUGAAAAACCAACUCCUCAUUACAAAUAAGGUUGCACUAUCUCUCUGCCCAGCUGAGACAGUCCCCUCCACCCUGCCCCACUGAGGAAGUGACUUUUGCCCUCUUGCUAUGUUGAUGAUGCCGCUCUGCCCUCUUAUGCAUGGAGGAUGUGGCUCCCCCUUUAGGGCUUAUUGUGGUCACCAUACAAUCAAGUCUGCCAAGAGUGGGUGCUAUAUGAGUGGCCCUUAAGACACCACAGACAUUUCCUUUCCAGACCACCAGAGGGCACCUUCACUCAUUUUUUAAUGUCAUCUUUUGCUGUCUGCUCAAUUUCCUUUCUAGAUUUCACACACUUGAUUUGUAUUUCCCUAUUAGGCACCCUAUUUAAGUUCUGUGUUUUUCCUGUUUAGUUGUUGAAGCAUUAUAUGUUAUAUGUUUAUGUCCAUGGCUGUGUUUGUGCAUGUAUGUUAGAUAAUGGUUACUUUGUACACUUUGAAUUGGUUUGCUUUUAAUUUUUAACUUUGCCUUCCCUAGCAUUCAACAAGCCCUUGGUUGUCUAUGUUUUUAAUUAGUAUUUGUAUUUUUAAUUCUUCAAAAAAGACUACUUUCUACUUUUAGGAUUUAUGAUAAGGCGAGUAAAUAAUACGAAGAAAGGAACACCCUAACAGCAACGUCUCAGGUUUCGGAUGUAACCCUGUUCCCUAAAAUGGAAACGAGAUGCCAGAAUAAGCAAGUCGUCACUCUAUUCAGUACAAAGAUGUUCUGGAGACACAAGCGUUUGUCCCUCCCAUUUUUAUCCAGGCUUUGGACUGGCACUGAGAGUCAACUCUUCAGCAGCUGGGGUGGCACCCCGCCCGGGAAUCGAACUCGGGCCAUGGCAAUGAGAGCGCGGGAUCCUGCUGUUGGACCACCAGGAGGUCCAACCUUUUUUAUUAAACAUAUAACAAUAUAUAAACAGGGAAACAUAAGAGCUAGUUCAAGUGCUUCAGGAAAAGGUAGGUCUUAAGGCAUCAUAUGAAGACAGUCAGAGACUGUAUGGACAUCUAGGGGAAGUUCAUUCCACCACCUUGGUGCCAGAACAGAGAAGAGUCUAGAUGAAUACCUACCUUUUGCCCUGAGAGAUGGUGGGACCAGUGCUAGUGGAUCGGAGAGAGCGAGGUGCAGUGCAAAGAGUAAUAAGGUCUUUGAGGUAAGAUGGUGCUGGUCCAUUCUUGGCUUUGUAGGCAAGCAUCAGUGCUUUGAAUCUGAUGUGUGCAGCUACUGGAAGCCAGUGGGGGGAACACAGCAGGGGUGGUGUGGGAGAACUUAGGCAGGUUGAAAACAAGCCGUGCAGCUGCAUUUUGGAUCAUUUGCAGUGGACGAGUUGCAUUCAGAGGAAGACCUACCAGUAAAGAGUUGCAGUAGCCUGUGUGGAUAGGAAUGUUCAAAUCCUUCUAAUGUUGUACAGAAGAAACCAACAUAAGUGUGUCACAUUAGCAUCAUGGGAGUAAAAAGACAGUUGAUUGUCCAUGGUUACCUCAAGGUUGUGAGCAGUGGCAGCAGGGGAGAUUAUUGAGUUGUUCAGAGAUAAUACAAGAUCCUGGGCUGGGGAUGAAUCACCUGGGAUGACAAGCAGUUCAGUUUUGCUGGGAUUAAGUUUCAGCUGAUGAGCUGUCAAGAUGAAAUGUCUGCCAGACAUGCUGAGAUUCGAGCAGAAGCUGUGGUAUCUGAGGGAGGGAAGGAGAAGAUAAGUUGGGUGUCAUCAGUAUAGCAGUGGUAUGAAAAGCCGUGUGAGGAUAUCACUUUGCCAAGAGUGUGGGUGUAGAAGGAGGAAAGGAGAGGACCAAGUACUGAGUUUUGUGGGACACCAGUAGAGCGUCCGCAUGAGGCAGAUGUCAAUCCCUUCCAUGUUAACUGAUAUGAGUGACCAUCCAGGUAGGAAGCAAACCAUUCCCAUGCUGUUCCACAAAUUCCAAGACUCCUGAGGGUGGACAAGAGAGUCUUGUGGUUAACUGUGUCAAAUGCUAUAGAAAGGUCGAGGAGGAUGAGGACCGAUGACAGCUUGGCUGAUCUAGCAGCAUGUAGUUUCUCAGUGACUGCCAAAAGGGCAGUCUCUGUGGAAUGUGCUGCUUUGAAGCCAGACUGGUUGGCAACAUGGAGGUUAUUCUGAAAGAGAUAGUCAGACAACUGAUUAUAAACAAUUCGUUCAAGAAUUUUUGAAAGAAAGGAGAGAAGUGAUACCGAGUAAUUAUUGAUUUCUGUAAUUAUUUCUUCAGUAUAGGGAUAACCCUUGCUUGCUUAAAGGCAGUUGGUACCUGUCCUGAUGUUAUGGAUCCAUUAAUGACUGUGGUGAUGCAGGGCAGGAGGUCAGGUGAGAUGGUCUGGAGGAUAGUGGAAGGGAUUGGAUCCAGUGGGCAGGUGGUGGGAUUGCAGGAGUGGAUAAUUUGCAAAACCUCUUCUGCUGCUAUGGUUGAGAGAUGCUUCAGUGAAGGAGUAGCUGAGUCCUGGCUGUGUAAAAAGUGGCAAAAUCUUCAGCGGUCAGGGAGGAUGGAGCAGGUGGAGUCGGAGGGUUGGGUAGUGCAGAGAAGAUGUUGUGGAGUCUACCACUCAAAAGUUUGGGAUCACUUGCAUAUUUCAGCUUGAUUUCAGCUAUGGAGGAAGACUCCAUCAGCCAAUCCGUCUUGUGGGAGUUGUCCAGCAAGCAUGGGGUGAAUUUCUUCAGAUUAUCUUGAAAAAUUGAUAGCUAGAAUGCCCAGGCUGUAAUUGCUGCAAAAGGUGUUUUUUUUAUGAAGGCAAAAUUGGAAGAAAACAUUCAUCAUUUCCAUCAAAAUCAAUAUUUCUAACUCUGACAUGUCAGCAUGUCCUGUUCUUUUGCUAUAUUUUCUAUUCAGACUCAUUUCGUGUGUGUUCCCUUGGAAAAAAUAAAAUUUUUGAGUGAUCCCAAACUAUAUGAGAUUAAAUAGACCAUGAAUAUGAUACUCCAGAGGCAGUAGUCAUGACAAACACAACAGAGCAGUAAAAUAAGGUGGAUAUAUUGUAAUGUAAUGGUAUGUACUUCAGGGUGGACCAAGGCCAAAAUUACAAAGAGAAACACUCUGGAUUAAGGACUAACUAAGCUACACAAAAAAGAAACAAGCAAAAAGACACCUUCCCUAACCUCCCUUACCAAGAAAAACAGAGACAAAACUCCCCAACAAAAAUGGCAGUGUAACAGUGCCUGCAGAACCAGAUCGCCAGAGGGCGCCAUCACCUGAGUUUUGACAUUCUCUAAUUUGCUUCCGGUCUCACCCAGGUAUUUAAACAGCUCUGCCUAGGUGUUCACUACGAAGUAUCAUUCUCUCAGAUUGUGUACCAAGCCUUGUAUUUGAUAUUGUGUCUACUACAUGUAUGAUCCCUGCCUGACCCUAGUUCUACGAUUGUUUUUUGAUUUUGUUUGUUUUUGGGUUUUGCGAUUUUGGUUUUGUUUGCUCAGUGUUUUGUUUCCCGGCUUUCGACCCUUUUUGCCUGACCAUACCGAUACCGAUACUUGCCUGCCGAUUUUGUUAUAAUAAAGAUCUGCUUAUGGAUUCUGCUACACCUGCCUCUGGUGCAUCCUUACAGGCAGUCACACCCCUAUAUAUAUAUAUAUAUGCAGUGUAUCAAUAUUUACAACCACAACCACUGCCUGAACCUACCAUUCAAGUUCCAUGAUGAUAGCUUAAUGUUAACCUAUCAAGUGCCUACUGAAAUCAGUUUAAAAUGAAUUAGGUCAUCAAAAUCCAAUUUAGCAUGUAGGUUAGCACAUAGAUAGACCACACUGAAUUUUAGCUUGAAUGGACAUACAUGUCCUGAUUAACAGUUAUCUGAGCUGUGCAUGACCACACCCAAAAUGAUCUCCUCCCUUAUAUUAUUUUCAAGUAUCAUGAAAAUCCAUGCAAACAAAGAGUUACAAGUGAUUUAAUUAAAAAAAGUUAAAAAGUAAAAAAAAUAAAAUACUCUAGUGCCACCAUUUGUCCAGUCUGGCCAGUAGCAGGAGGGAGUGUCACAACCAUCAGGUACAAUUCAUCACAAGACCAGCAGAGGGAACUCUCUCUCAUUUUUUCAAAUCUCACAAUUUCCUUUCUUGAUUUCACACACCUGUUUAGUGUUUCCCUGUUAGUCAUCAUAUUUAACUUUUACAGUUUCCUUCCCUGUUGGUUGGAGUAUUAUGCUUAUGUCUGUGUUUGUGUGCAGAUUAUGUUUGUUGUUUGCAUUGUGUCUAGCCUUUGAUUUCAUAUUCUAGUUUGCCCCUUGCUUCUUUUAUUGUUCAAUUAAUUUGGACCCUUCCCAGUCUUUGCUUGUUUUUGUUGUUUUUCAUUAAGAUUUGUGCACAUACAUCUACCUUCACCCUCACUCCAUCACAGAAUGCUCCAACCAAUUAUGGAUGCAGCAGAACCGACAGUUCUAGAGCAGGAGUUGGCAGAGCAGACCCUUCUCUUCAAAUAACCCUUCUCUUCUGCUUGAGGAGAUGCUCAGCAAAUGGGUCAAGUGGGAAAUAUGGGAGGAGGAGAAGACACAAGUCCAUAGCAGGGAUCUUUCUAUUGCCCUCCCCCAGCCCUACUGAGAAGGUUGUCACUAGGUGCGUUUACAUGGACACUUCCAUGUAAACGCGAUCGUCCGAUCAUAACAGGACUAGAAGCACAAUCAGAUUAAAAAAGUGUCAUGUAAACACGUCAGUCGGAUGGAAUUUGCCACAUCCGAUUAAAAUUUCAAUCGGAUACUAAGGGGUGGUUUAAAGAGCAGAGCUAUCGGGGAAAGCACACAGAGGGAACCACAGCUACAUCAGCACCAUGGUAUCCAGCACCAGAGGGUCUGCCGAAAAGUGAAAGCCAUAGGAGACAGUGGGCUGACAAGCCAAAAACUUUCAUAUGCAUUCCACCAUCUGUGGGUGGAGAUGCUAUUCUUCAGCUCUCUAGGACCCUCUCUUCCUAACCUGAGAGGAAGGAAUCCAUCAAAAGAGUCUUGUGAGGAUGACAUGCCGUUGAGGACCUGAAGGUUCUUGUUGGUAAAGGAGAAAAAAACAUGGGAGGCAGCUCUUCAGCACUGCAGGACUCUCUACUCUAACUUGGCCUUUGUGGAUUCACAAACACAGCUAGACCUGCUUAAAAUAGAGACUGAACAAGCUCAAACAGCCAGUGUGUGGACAGGCCUGCGUUUCCUUGAUGGAAAAUGGUUCUGGGUGAACGGGGUGCCACUGAAGAGCCUGGUAUCAGUGUCUACAUGCCCAAUCCAGCCCUCUCGCUGUGGUGCCUACAACUUCAACACAUACAUCUGGGAAAACAGAGCCUGCAAUCAGGAGCUUAAUUUCCUCUGCUAUCACUGAUUAGAUUACCUCCUACACAUGGUAUAAGAAGAAUAUCUCCCACAAGAAGCAUUCUUCAAGAAAUCAGUCAGUCAGAUAAUAUGAUUAACUCGGUAUCAUCACUUUAAAGUUUAAAAUGUAAAUAGUUUAGGUUCAAUGAAAAUUAUUGCAGGUGUUGUUGAAUGAUGUACAACUUAUAAAGGUCAUGUUAGAAAAGUGUAUUCUUAUGAGUAAAUGUUUGGUGGUUGUUUUUUUUUCUAGAAUAAGUUCAUGUUCGAACAUUAUGUACUGAUUUUGUUUGGAUCAGAAUCCAUUCUUGUUUAGAUAAGUAGAUGGAGCACUGUAGCACUGAAUCUUUUAGAGCAUAGAGUCAAGCAUUGAUCAUUGUGACAUAACAGUAACAGCACCUCAUAUUUGUAACAGGAUGUGAGACAGGAUGUUUACCAUGGGUUGUGCUAAGAGAUACAACAUUAUGAUGUCAUGUAACUAACACACAGUACAUGAAGUACGAAUUCUUGUGUUGCAGCACCUGUGAUGUUUGGACCCUAAAGUUACUGCUUGCCGCUAUAAUUAUUAUUGUAUGAAAAUGCACUGCUUUAAUAACUGUGAAACUACAUAAAGUGCCGGGAGAACCUUGCUGUCUAGAGUUGUUUAAUUAAACAAGCGACUUAGUUGCUUAAAUUAUAGCCGCUAUAAACUAGUGUGGUGCAAUUCCAUUUAGAGCUGUUUAAGUACAUUACUCAAUAAAAAGUCAAUAAAAAUCAUGUUUCUGAUAAUUAUUGAUAUCUGAUAAUUAUUAGUCAUACUCUGCUGAGCAGUUUUGUACCAUGUACAUUUACAGCAUUUUGGCAGGCACCAGACUUUUCUGCUUUUACUCUGAACAACAAUCAGAAUCAUAAUAAUGAAUAUUGCCACAAGCUGUGAUCAGCUGCGUCCAAGAGCUCCUUGCAAACUGUUCUCCCAGUGGCCAUUUCUUGGCAAGAUAAAUAGAACCAUAAAGAAACCACACACUCACAUAUUUUUCAAGGUUUGUGAUAAUUGCUAAAUGCUAAUUGUUCAAAAUGACCGUUGAAAGCUGCCUGGCUGAAAGUGGUUGUUUUUCAAUAAUGAUUAAAAAUCCAGUUACUGAUCUGGAGAUCAAUGCAGAACACUAAAUGUUGUCUUGGUUUUACUGAGAAACAGUUAUUUUAACUUACCUUCAACCACUAUGAAUAUGAAUAGUGCCCCCCAGUGGCCAAUUUGAGUGUGACAACAUCAGUACUACAUCUAGUAGUGGGUCACUGCCUGAACCUACUAUUCAAGUUCCAUGACUAUAGCUCAAUGUUUAGCUCCCAUCAUUGCCACCAUUCGUCCAGUCUGAAUGAGUGUCACAGCCACCAAGGACAAUUCCUCACAAGAACAGCAGAGGGAACUCUCUCUCAUUUCUUCCUCUACAUUCGCAUCUGCUCCAUUUCCUUCUUGAUUUUACACUCCCAUUUAUUAUUUCCCUAUUAGUCACCCUAUCUAUGUUUAAUAUUUUUCCUCCCUGUUGGUUGUAGCAUUAUGCUUAUGUCUGUGUGCACAGAUAGAUUAUUGGUUGCUGAUUGUACUGUGUAUAGCCUUCGUUUUCAUAUUCUAAAUU